UUGAAGAGUUUGAUCAUGGCUCAGAUUGAACGCUGGCGGCAGGCCUAACACAUGCAAGUCGAGCGGAAACGAGUUAUCUGAACCUUCGGGGGACGAUAACGGCGUCGAGCGGCGGACGGGUGAGUAAUGCCUAGGAAAUUGCCCUGAUGUGGGGGAUAACCAUUGGAAACGAUGGCUAAUACCGCAUAAUGCCUACGGGCCAAAGAGGGGGACCUUCGGGCCUCUCGCGUCAGGAUAUGCCUAGGUGGGAUUAGCUAGUUGGUGAGGUAAUGGCUCACCAAGGCGACGAUCCCUAGCUGGUCUGAGAGGAUGAUCAGCCACACUGGAACUGAGACACGGUCCAGACUCCUACGGGAGGCAGCAGUGGGGAAUAUUGCACAAUGGGCGCAAGCCUGAUGCAGCCAUGCCGCGUGUGUGAAGAAGGCCUUCGGGUUGUAAAGCACUUUCAGUCGUGAGGAAGGUAGUGUAGUUAAUAGCUGCAUUAUUUGACGUUAGCGACAGAAGAAGCACCGGCUAACUCCGUGCCAGCAGCCGCGGUAAUACGGAGGGUGCGAGCGUUAAUCGGAAUUACUGGGCGUAAAGCGCAUGCAGGUGGUUUGUUAAGUCAGAUGUGAAAGCCCGGGGCUCAACCUCGGAAUAGCAUUUGAAACUGGCAGACUAGAGUACUGUAGAGGGGGGUAGAAUUUCAGGUGUAGCGGUGAAAUGCGUAGAGAUCUGAAGGAAUACCGGUGGCGAAGGCGGCCCCCUGGACAGAUACUGACACUCAGAUGCGAAAGCGUGGGGAGCAAACAGGAUUAGAUACCCUGGUAGUCCACGCCGUAAACGAUGUCUACUUGGAGGUUGUGGCCUUGAGCCGUGGCUUUCGGAGCUAACGCGUUAAGUAGACCGCCUGGGGAGUACGGUCGCAAGAUUAAAACUCAAAUGAAUUGACGGGGGCCCGCACAAGCGGUGGAGCAUGUGGUUUAAUUCGAUGCAACGCGAAGAACCUUACCUACUCUUGACAUCCAGAGAACUUUCCAGAGAUGGAUUGGUGCCUUCGGGAACUCUGAGACAGGUGCUGCAUGGCUGUCGUCAGCUCGUGUUGUGAAAUGUUGGGUUAAGUCCCGCAACGAGCGCAACCCUUAUCCUUGUUUGCCAGCGAGUAAUGUCGGGAACUCCAGGGAGACUGCCGGUGAUAAACCGGAGGAAGGUGGGGACGACGUCAAGUCAUCAUGGCCCUUACGAGUAGGGCUACACACGUGCUACAAUGGCGCAUACAGAGGGCAGCAAGCUAGCGAUAGUGAGCGAAUCCCAAAAAGUGCGUCGUAGUCCGGAUUGGAGUCUGCAACUCGACUCCAUGAAGUCGGAAUCGCUAGUAAUCGUGGAUCAGAAUGCCACGGUGAAUACGUUCCCGGGCCUUGUACACACCGCCCGUCACACCAUGGGAGUGGGCUGCAAAAGAAGUAGGUAGUUUAACCUUCGGGAGGACGCUUACCACUUUGUGGUUCAUGACUGGGGUGAAGUCGUAACAAGGUAGCGCUAGGGGAACCUGGCGCUGGAUCACCUCCUU
rnacentral:rRNA from 1 species